CUGGCAGUUUCCACCCAGCUAUGUGCAGACAUUUAACCUAAUGAACAGAAAUUGCUCCAUUGGGACUACUCCUCUAUUCGAAAUUGUUUGAAGGGAAUUGUCCCAUCACCUUGCUGGUAGGAGACCUUCUACUAUCAUCAUACCUGCAUCAUUGGCUGAGACUUGUCUGAAAUGCCUUCACUGUUUCUGCAGAGGAAACCUGGAAGAAGGAGAUACAGAUCUUAGCUCUUUUACCUUCUGCUUCAGUUUGUGCCUGACCAUCUGUGAGUAAGGUACUCACGGGUCUCCAUGCUUAAUUAACCCUUUCACCCUUCUUCUGUGUCUUUCCAUUAGCUCCAUCUUUGCUAUGUUGCAAUGAAAGGUACCUCUCUGGGGCAUGGAAAGAUAAAUAUCUGAAUAUCUGCCUAUCAAUGCUCAAACCACCAAAGUCAUUCUAGGCUUGAGCAUUUUUCCAGUUUAUGCAUAACAUUAGGGAAUGGUCUUCAUUUUAAGACAAAGCUGGCAAAGGAAGGGCAUGAUCUCAAGAGCUUUUUAAAUACCACUGUUGACUGAAAGCUAUUAGGUCAUGCUACUGAGUGGCUACCACCACCAUUAACAAGAAAUGGAG
rnacentral:lncRNA from 1 species